UUUACUAGCUCAAUCAGUGUACAAAUGGGUGUUGCAAGCAAAAAUACAUGUUAUCUGUAAAAUGGAACUGCCAUUAUCCAAUCAGAGCAUUAAUUAACUAAAGUCAAUACUCAUAUCAAUGAAUAGGCUAUUUGGAGAAAAAAUAGAAGAGCAAAAUCCUUACGACCUUCUGCUUCCUGUGAUCCAGGAAAUACAGCAGGCACCCCUUCAUCCUCACCACCGACUUUCAGGAGUUCCAGCAGUGUCUCUGUCCCCAGUCCCGCCUCUUUUCAGUCUCUGUCCCGUUCACUACCCGGCCCUAUCCACUCCUCCCCGUUUGGCCCCAUCCAGUCCCCUUCCUGCCAUGUGCUGUCCCUGCUCCGGGCUGCAGACAAACCACUGGCGGCCCAAACCGAAGUUGAGAAGUUGUAAGAUGGAAGAAAAGAAGAGCAAUGAAUGAGAGGUGAGGACAAAGAAGGCAGAACGGGAGAGAGGAUGUAAGUAAGAGUAUAGUGAAGGGGCAGGGGGGAGUAGAAGAUAGCAGGGGAGAAUAGGCAAGAGGGAAGAGCAGAAGAUGAGAGAUGAGAACAGAAGGGGGAAGAACAGGAGAAGGAAGAACAGAGGAGAAAAGAGCAGAAGCGAUAACAACUGUAGAUGAACAAAUACAAGUUAUAGAUAUGUAGAUAAGACAGAAGAGUAGAGAUGGUGGGAUGACUGCAGCUGGGUUGCACGGUGGGAUCUUUUCCUGGAGCGGAUUCAUAGUGCUUUGUCUGCUGGACCGGGAAACAAAAAGUCCCAGCUGAAGCACAGCUAAUCCAAGAGGUUAAAAAGCCCUCAGAAACACUGCGCCGAGGGACUGCCUGCACGAAGCACAGCAAAGGCUCCUCUCACAGACCCUGGCUCUCUGCAUUCCGAAAGCCGGCGUGCCGGCUUUGCCCGUCCUCACAGGGCAAGCUCUCACAUUCGCUGAGGCACAGCAGCUGUGGCCACCGGUGGAACUUUGUCACGGCCCUCUGAAUGGCCGGAAAAGCGCGAGUGGGGGGCAGGCAGAGGAGGAGCCGCCGGUCGGAGCGGAGGAAGCCGUUGUCGCGGUUGGGACGGGGCUGUGCGCGUGGCGGCAACGCACGGCUCUGCGCGCGCCCUGGAGACGGGUGAACGCGCGAGCGUCCUCCGCACGUCCCACUGUCCUCGUCGCAAAGCGCGUUAAAGCGCAAAGCGGCUUCAGAGCGAAGGAGCUCCCUCCCGAACUGGGAAAAGCGACGCUAACUCGAUAGCGCCCGCUCCUGCGGGCGGCUUGCCGGCGAUCUCCGAUUCGCGGCUCGCUGGGAGGUACGCAGCCCGUUAGAACGCGUGCCGUGGCUACCGGCUUUCUUGCCGUGACGCCGCUGAGCGCCUCGCGUCCCGUCCGCCCGUAAUGCGGACCGCCGGCCGCCUCUUCCCGCGGCGCCGCCUGCCGGAAGGGCCGGAGAUCGCACCCAGAGCCGACCCGACGCCGCGCUGCCAGAGUUAAUGCUGGCUUUUAGGUUGGUGCCAAGAUGCAACAUUCUCUACUCCUAGCAGUAUGGAAGGAAGGCUUUUUCAGGAGCGUCAGCAGCAGUUUCUGCAGGAACUCUCCCAUGCUUUCAGCACUCAACUUCUGUUGCACACUUUAGGACUUCAUUCUAUAGAUAUGUAUGAAAGAAGUAAUUCAAGAGAUUGAGGCACCCUUCCUCCUUAGGAUGGGAAAGCAAGUUGGAGAAAACAGCUAUAGGCAGGUAUAAGAAAAUAGAACUGAGAGAACUUGCAAAACAAAAGAUUGUGGAGACAAAGUGCAAGGCCAGCCAGAAGCUCAGACGAGGACAGCUGCAUAUUGCCAUCAGCCAGCAGAUGGGCAUGAAGAUGUGAGCAGAGAAAGACCCUAAGGAACAGCAAGGCCACAUCAGAUACAGAGGAGACAGCGGAACCGAAAAAGCAAUUAGCACCAGGAAGAUGUACAGUAAUGUCUACCAUUGCCAUCAUUCUCCCAAUGGCUUCUUCUGUAAGAAGAUGUGUAAGAAGACAAACCGAGCACAAAACUGCUGCCAUAUCUGCAGGAACACCUGGAAAAUAAAAAGUUCUGCUCUCCAG